rnacentral:rRNA from 1 species
CCCAAUAAAACAUUAUGCCGGGAAGGUUUUAUGUUCCAAAUGAUUUACCGCCGAAGGAGGGAACUGCGGCCUAUCAUUUUGUUGGGGAGGUAAGGCCCCACCAAAAUUAUAACAGGUACGGGUUCUGAAAGAAGUACCCCGAAGAUGGUUACUGAAACACGAACCCAGCCCCUAGGGGGCGCACCAGGAAAAAAAAUUUUGCAUGGUGCAAAACCACAACAAGGUUAAUCCAAGUGUUUUCUGCUAAAAAAACUUUUUGUCAUUCCAAAAAACACUGAUAAAUAAGGGGGGGGCAAUUUCUGGUGCCACCCCCCGCGAAAAAACCACCCCCUCAGGUGGUCAGAAUAAUUAUGGGCCCAAAACCAUCCGUACCCGGUUCUGUAAUUUUUCGGUUAAAUCUGUACCCUCAACGUACAGGCUGCCGGAAAUACUGAAAAGCUAGGGAGGGGAAAAGGUAAACGGUACUCGGAAGGAAGGGGAAAAAUCUUUUGAUCUAUUGAUAACCACCUGUGGCGAAGGCGGCCUACCAAAACACGUCC